rnacentral:rRNA from 1 species
AGAGUUUGAUCAUGGCUCAGAAUCAACGCUGGCGGCGUGCCUAACACAUGCAAGUCGAACGCGAAAGUGGAGCAAUCCAUGAGUAGAGUGGCAAACGGGUGAGUAACACGUGGGUGACCUGCCUUCGAGCGGGGGAUAACGUCCCGAAAGGGACGCUAAUACCGCAUAACAUCCUGCCUUUGAAGAGGUGGAGAUCAAAGCUGGGGAUCGCAAGACCUAGCACUCGAAGAGGGGCCCGCGUCCGAUUAGCUAGUUGGUGAGGUAAUGGCUCACCAAGGCAACGAUCGGUAGCCGGCCUGAGAGGGCGGACGGCCACACUGGGACUGAGACACGGCCCAGACUCCUACGGGAGGCAGCAGUGGGGAAUUGUUCGCAAUGGGCGCAAGCCUGACGACGCAACGCCGCGUGGAGGAUGAAGAUCUUCGGGUCGUAAACUCCUUUCGAUCGAGACGAACGGCCCCGGGGUAAACAAUCCCGGGGAGUGACGGUACCGAGAGAAGAAGCCCCGGCUAACUCCGUGCCAGCAGCCGCGGUA